rnacentral:misc_RNA from 1 species
CCGAGUUUACAACUCCCAAACCCCUGUGAACAUACCUACUUACGUUGCCUCGGCGGAUCAGCCCGCGCCCCGUAAAACGGGACGGCCCGCCAGAGGACCCCUAAACUCUGUUUCUAUAGUGGAACUUCUGAGUAAAACCAUAAAUAAAUCA